rnacentral:rRNA from 1 species
GUUGAACGCUGGCGGCAGGCCUAACACAUGCAAGUCGAGCGGAUGAAGGGAGCUUGCUCCUGGAUUCAGCGGCGGACGGGCGAGUAAUGCCUAGGAAUCUGCCUGGUAGUGGGGGAUAACGUCCGGAAACGGGCGCUAAUACCGCAUACGUCCUGAGGGAGAAAGUGGGGGAUCUUCGGACCUCACGCUAUCAGAUGAGCCUAGGUCGGAUUAGCUAGUUGGUGGGGUAAAGGCCUACCAAGGCGACGAUCCGUAACUGGUCUGAGAGGAUGAUCAGUCACACUGGAACUGAGACACGGUCCAGACUCCUACGGGAGGCAGCAGUGGGGAAUAUUGGACAAUGGGCGAAAGCCUGAUCCAGCCAUGCCGCGUGUGUGAAGAAGGUCUUCGGAUUGUAAAGCACUUUAAGUUGGGAGGAAGGGCAGUAAGUUAAUACCUUGCUGUUUUGACGUUACCGACAGAAUAAGCACCGGCUAACUUCGUG